rnacentral:rRNA from 1 species
CCUAACACAUGCAAGUCGAACGGUAACAGGAAGAAGCUUAGCUUCUUUCGCUGACGAGUGGCGGACGGGUGAGUAAUGUCUGGGAAACUGCCUGAUGGAGGGGGAUAACUACUGGAAACGGUAGCUAAUACCGCAUAACGUCGCAAGACCAAAGAGGGGGACCCUCGGGCCUCUUGCCAUCGGAUGUGCCCAGAUGGGAUUAGCUUGUUGGUGGGGUAACGGCUCACCAAGGCGACGAUCCCUAGCUGGUCUGAGAGGAUGACCAGCCACACUGGAACUGAGACACGGUCCAGACUCCUACGGGAGGCAGCAGUGGGGAAUAUUGCACAAUGGGCGCAAGCCUGAUGCAGCCAUGCCGCGUGUAUGAAGAAGGCCUUCGGGUUGUAAA